CCUACGGGUGGCUGCAGUGAGGAAUAUUGGUCAAUGGGCGUGAGCCUGAACCAGCCAAGUAGCGUGAAGGAUGAAUGUCCUAUGGGUUGUAAACUUCUUUUAUAAGGGAAUAAAGUGUGGCACGUGUCCCUUUUUGUAUGUACUUUAUGAAUAAGGAUCGGCUAACUCCGUGCCAGCAGCCGCGGUAAUACGGAGGAUCCGAGCGUUAUCCGGAUUUAUUGGGUUUAAAGGGAGCGUAGAUGGAGUUUUAAGUCAGUUGUGAAAGUCUGUGGCUCAACCGUAGAAUUGCCAUUGAUACUGGGGGUCUUGAGUAUAGUUGAGGUAGGCGGAAUGCGUGGUGUAGCGGUGAAAUGCUUAGAUAUCACGAAGAACUCCGAUUGCGAAGGCAGCUUACUAAGC
rnacentral:rRNA from 1 species